UCCUGAUGCAUAUCCAUAUCUACCAAAUGCCGGUUUCCGCCCAGACGUCUCCUUGCUUGUGCUGGCGAUCACUUUGUUGUCAUCUGUUGCAUUCCACUUCGUACGUAUUUAAGAACUUCUCCAUAUCAAUUUGUGAAGCACAUCAAUUCUAUCUGGAAAAUGGAGCAAGUUGAAGAAUUUACGGACCCAAGCAAUGUCAUUUGUAUAUCCGCGGAUUACAGGCACUAAUUUGUAAGCAAAAAUGUCCCUUUUUACUUUAAUUGUUGGCAAAUUGAUUUCCAUAUUUUCUCGUUCCAUACAAACAUGUUUUUACCUGUGUUUCAAAUCAUGUUGUUUAUAGAGUUUAUUUAUUUAGUCCAUAGUGUUCACUAGAAUUGUAAUAAGAAUAAGAAUAAAUUCAUAAAUUAUAUAGCUGAUUUCAAAUACAUCUUUGAAUUUUGGUUACCCAGCUUCUAAAUUCUAUUUUGUUCUCGAUCAUCUUGUCAUAUUUUAUGUAGGCAUAGCAAAUUGCUCUCCUUUUCUUUCAUGCUGCUGAAUGUUGAGAAAACAUCGCACACACAUUAAAAAUUGCGAUUUGGGGGCAUAUUUGGUCAUCAGACACUUUGAAAAUUGCAAUUUUGGGAACAUGUUUGAUACACAAUAUUAGAUAGGAGCGGGCAGUAUUAAGCCCUGUUUGACAUCCAUUAAAUCAAAGUUCUUUUUUUUUUUUUCCAAAACUCAUUUUCAACCACACAUUCACCCAUUAAAAUAUUUGCACGUAAAUCCAACAUUUUUUUAUUACAACCACACAUUCACACAUUAAAAUAUUUGCACGUAAAUCCAACAUUUUUUUUUAUUACUUUUUAACAACAUUUUUCAAAAAAUCACACCCAGAAAAAGUAACUCUUUUUAAUGGAUGUCAAACAGGGAUGUAAGAAAAAGACUUGUUCAUUGUCUUGGGUAAUUCUGCACACCAGUUUAUUUGUUUUCAUGAAUCAUAAGCUGCAUUGAUAUGGCUAGAAUUAUUGAAAUGUGUACCAGCUUCCGGUUUAUUGGGAGAUUUUUUUGGUUUCAAACUGUGAAUUGGAUUAACAAAUAAUUGCUUGAGCUACUAAAAUCCUGCAUAAUGGAGAUAUCGUUGGAGAGGUGACAAAACCAUAUAUUUCAAUACCAUCAAAAGGAAUUUAGAACACCAGAAAAAGCAACACUGAUAGUUGUUUAGAAAAACCAUAUCUAAGUACUGAGCUCAAAGUUCUACCAUAAUAUAUCUUUCUUUGAUAGAAGUUAUUCAAUAUAUGAAUUACUAUGGAGGAGACCAUUUGGCAUCAGGAUACAUGAAUGGAUUUGAAUAAAAGUAAUGUGUAAAAUCUUGUAUAGAUAUACUGAAUUUAUAUGUAUUUUAGACCCUUUAUACUUGAAUGAAAAAUAAUUCUGCUUUAUCCCAUCAUAUCCACUACCAUCUAUGACAAAGAUAGAUUCACCAGCAUAGCAUUCACAAAUACUUCACAAUAUCUUAUGAUUCAAAUACUAAAAUUUAACAUCCAAGUCAUCAUGCAAAAAUAACUGUCAAAAUCCAAAAAUCUUGAAAUCCAAACAUGGAGAUCAGAGGCUGUCUAUUUGUAAAAGAUGUAGAACUUACACAGGGCUUGAAUCUUGCCGGGAGGAAACUGGAUUUUGCACAUGGACUCGAAUAAUAGUCUUUCAUGAACUCACAGUUUCAUCGCCAAUAUGCACUCAGAAAUGUGGGAUUUUUCCCUUCCAACUUGAGUAGUCUCUCUGUUUAGUGGGUAUAAAGACUUGGUUUGGUGGAUAUAAAGACUUAGGUGUUUGGUGUUGAGGGUAAUUUAAAUAAAUGGAUGCCUAUUUUGUCUUAAUAAUUAAGCUUUUCGGUGAGGCGAGGAAGGCAAAUUUCUAAGUUCAACUCUUGUCAUUAUAGAUGUGUACUGUCGCUGUCAGGUAUUUCAUGAAAAAUGAAUCCAACCUGUAGGUAAGGGAACUAAUUGAAGACAAUUCAAGAAAAGAAAAUUUUCAGUUCUCUGACGGUUUAAAUUUUUAGAUGAGGUGGUUUAACAAUGAUAUGUUUGUAUAAACUUACGAGAGAUUCCCGUUAAUAAAUACUAUCAAUCAAUUUCAUUGGAACGCGUUAGAAGAGGGGGAGAGAGAGGUUAAAACUAACGUGAUCAAUUGUAAUU
rnacentral:lncRNA from 1 species